rnacentral:rRNA from 1 species
GACGAACGCUGGCGGCGUGCCUAAUACAUGCAAGUAGGACGCAGUUGCGAACGGGUGAGUAACGCGUAGGUAACUGCCUAUUAGAGGGGGAUAACUAUUGGAAACGAUAGCUAAUACCGCAUACUAGUAGAUGGACCUGCGUUGUAUUAGCUAGUAGGUAGGGUAAUGGCCUACCUAGGCAACGAUACGUAGCCGAGCGGAGAGGGUGAUCGGCGGAGCUGGGACGGGGACACGGCCCAGACGCCUCCGGGAGGCAGCAGUAGGGAAUCUUCGGCAAUGGGGGGAACCCUGAACGAGCAACGCCGGGGGAGUGAAGAAGGUGUUCGGAUCGUAAAGCUCUGUUGUUAAGGAAGCGGUACUUAACCAGAAAGGGACGGCUAACUACGUGCCAGCAGCCGCGGUAAUUC